CGGGACUAUGAGGGGGCAUUUUGCUCUCCCAAAUCUCACAUGAUAAGAUGGCUGCAACACCAGAUUUAUGUAGGCAAAGAUCACAAAGGGAUGGAUUACAUCCCAGCGUUUGGAAUGAGGAACGUGGUUUGCAAAAAAA